AUGCGACCGUUUUUAUCCUGGAGUAUGACAGAUACAAUGUCUAGACUGUCCUCGGUUGCUUCUCUUCGACUACCAGCCAUUCAGCACCCGUUAUCAAGACUCAUAGACCCAGAAACCCUCUCUCUCAGAGGCUACUCCAGAGAUUACGCUGGGAGUGACGAAGUUGUACCGCCGGGGUUGCGGGAUGGGGACCUCGACUUUGUUUUCCGAGGUCAAAACACAAGAAGGGCCACAGGUUAUCCUUAUGACAAGGCUCCGCCGAAGCAGAGCAGUUUCAGCCUGGUCUCGCAGCCAAUCCCCGAAGGAGUCAAAGUCUCAGUAGCCCUUGAUCCGGUUAAACCACGGCUGCCCAUCUUUGGUCAGCGGGUGGCACCAGAGAGCAGGGGGAGCCGAGUCACCAGCCUAACCAGUACCAUUAAAACCAGCAUCACCAGUCAAACCAGUACCAGCAGAACCAGUAUCCUUACCAGAACUACUACCGCAGCCUCCUGCCCUGAGGCCCAGCUCAGGAUCCAAGUGGACCAGCUUGAGCGCGAGCUAAGGCAGAACAUUCAGUUGUUAGGACACUUGAACCUUCAACGAAUGUUCAAGAACAACCAUCCGGAGGGAAAAGCACUGGCCAACAGAGAUGUGUUGCUGAUGAUCCUCACCAAGUUUCUGGGCCGAUUCAUCACACUGCAGCAGUACAGCCAGUUGCUGCUCCGACUGCAUUUGUCGAAGAAGGCAGCCAUUAGCUUUGAGGAGCUGUGGGAGGCCAUAAGAGAGUCUGGAGCAGGUGGACCAGCCACUUGGUUUAACCCCACCCAGGAUCCGAGUACAACCCCUCCCCUUUCUCCAGCUAAAGUCACAGCCUCCCAGACCCUAUCCCUAUUGCGGGGACAGGCCCAGAACAGGUUCCUGGAGGUCAUAGAGUCACGUCCCACAGAGCUAGGCCUACAGAGGAUCAGUUUGAUUGUAGCUCCAGAGCUGAAGAGAUGUCUUGCACAGUUGGGCCUCAACUUAGAGGACCGGGAGUUUGAGAAGCUUUGGAAGAAAUUUGACAGCAAAGGACUUGGAGCCGUGAACGUGAGAGGUUUGCUAAGGAAACUUGGACUGAGCCAGAUUAAGACCUCAGACACCAACGAUAAUAAUGAUCAAGUUUCAUCUUCUAUCAAUGGUGAAGACACCAAAGCCAGACCCAGGGCCCUGUCGAAGUCGGAGGAGGAGCGUGGGGUAUCCAUCACCAUGGAGAAGUGGCUGAAGGACAAGUUUAGGGAGGGCGUCCAGAGAAUGAAAUCCCAGUUUGACCAACUGGAUCCAGACCAGACCUGCAAGGUGGGCCUGGAGGAGUUUCUGCAGGUGUUGAAGACCUUUGGCCUGAAUCUAAAGAGGGAGCAUGUGGGCUUGUUUUUGGCUCGCUGUGGCCUGGGACUCAACAAGACAGGUGUGAUCCAUUACCCAGAGUUCCUCCGCAUGUUUCAGGACCGCAGCGAGGAAGGGGUCACACAUAGGAUCCUAUCCAAUCCACAACACAGGUUUCACCAUAUCCAGGGGAGCAUCAGCCAUGCGUCCACAGUCACCAUGGUGGAGGCUAAACUGGCUCGACUCUUCCAGUCAGAGUACCUCGCUCUGUUAGAAAUGUUUCAGUAAGUAUAGAGUCACAUGGUGACUCAACAAAUAGCAAAUAUGAGCAUAUUGUAGCAGCUAGAUACACUACAUGACUAAAGGUACGUGGAUACCUGCUCAUUGAACAUCUCAUUCCAAAAUCAUGGACAUUAAUAUGGAGUUUGCAGCCUCCAGUCUUCUGGGAAGGCCUUCCAAUAGAUGUUGGAACAUUGCCGCAGGGACCAUUCAGUCACAAGAGCAUUAGUGAGUUCAGGCACUGAUGUUGGACGAUUAGGCCUGGCUUGCUGAAACAGGAAAAGGCCUUCCCCAAACUAUUGCCACAAAGUUGGAAGCAUAGAAUUGUCUAGAAUGUCAUUGUAUGCUUUAGCGUUAAGCUAAACUACAGGGCCUAGCCCGACCCAUGAAAAACAGCCCCAGGUAGGGUUGUGGCUGUCACAAAUGUUCGUCAGCUGGUGAUUUUCAAGCAAAUAACUGUUGGUCUCACGGUAAUUGACAGUUAAUUAAUAUAAACAAAUUUAGCAUCUGGAUACUUCCACACAUAGCUUACAAGCCACUGAUGCAGACCUUUGGAACAUCUACAUUUUAAAAAGUCUAAUAAAUCCAUGCAAUAUAGCCUACACCUUCACAAUAAAUCCGUUAUUUAUUUUAGACAGGUUUAAAGAAGCAUGAUAUGAAGAAAAUGUAUUCUAUUUCAGAAGUACAGAAUAGCAUACUCUGGGGCAGUAUUCACAAAACCUUCUUAAGAAGAAAUUCCUUCCUAAGUGACAUUUUUUCCUUAACUAUAGUCUUAAGAAGAAAGUUAAGAAACAUUGCCAUUCCUCAAUAAAGUUAUUGGAAAUGUUCUUAACAAGGUUGUACUUAACUUUAGGACAGCUAAACCCUUGUCUUGAGACGAAUGGAUACUUUUGUAACCAUAAAUGUUUUCUUGCCCCACAGACAGAGUUGGCUACCGGAUAUUUAAAUACAGCAAGAAUACAAAUUAAACAUGCAUUAUCUAGCUAGCUAGUAAUUUACAAUAUAUUACAAUAUUCUAGAAGCGUAAAAAGCUAGCGCUAUAUUGUCAAUUUGCAAAGAAGAACUUGGCUAGCUUAGCUAACAUUUACGUCGUUAGCAAUGUUGGCUAUAAUGUCUUUACGCUUUAGCUAGCUAACGUAGCUAAUUAACUUACCGGUCUAUGAUGGACGACACCCUCUCCUCCAGCUCGUCCACAUGAAUGGUCUCUCAGCUCCCUUCUUCUUAGCAGCCAACUUGAUGUCGGACCACUUCUUUUUUUACGGUGUCACUGUCUCUUGCCAUACUCCCAACGGCAGAGACAGACUUGGCCACUCUCGCCCAUCCUUUCUUUUUGGUCUCUGCAGUGACCCCGCAGUUAUCAAGUCUCCCCAACAGCAACCUUUUCCUGGGUGCUAAACUCCGCAAAAAAAGAAACGUCCUCUCGCUGUCAACUGCGUUUAUUUUCAGCAAACUUAACUUAACUUAAGUGUAAUAUUUGUAUGAACAUAACAAGAUUCAACAACUGAGACAUAAAUUGAACAAGUUCCACAGACAUGUGACUAACAGAAAUGGGAUAAUGUGUCCCUGAACAAAGGGGGGUCAAAAUCAAAAGUAACCGUCAGUAUCUGGUGUGGCCACCAGAUGCAUUAACUUAGGGCUGCAAUCCCGUUAACGGGAUCGAUAUGACAACAGCCAGUGAAAGUGCAGGGCGCCAAAUUCAAAACAACAGAAACCUCAUAAUUAAAACUCCUCAAACAUACAAGUAUCUUAUACCGUUUUAAAGGUAAUCUUGUUGUUAAUCCCAGGCUUUACAGUCGAAAGCAUCACAAAUGAUUAUUGUUAGGUCACCACCAAGCCACAGAAAGACACAGCCAUUUUUCCAGACAAAGAGAGGAGUCACAAAAAGCACAAAUAGAGAUAAAAUGUAUCACUAACCUUUGAUGAUCUUCAUCAAAAGACACUCAUAGGACUUCAUGUUACACAAUACAUAUAUGUUUUGUUUGAUAAAGUUCAUAUUAUAUAAAAAAAUCUCAGUAUACAUUGGAGCGUUACGUUCACUAGUUCCAAAAACAUCCGGUGAUAUUGCAGAGAGCCACAUCAUUUUACAGAAAUACUCAUUAUAAAUGUCGAUGAAAAUUCAAGUGUUAGACAUGGAAAUAUAGAUAUACCUCUCCUUAAUGCAACCGCUAUGUCAGAUUUAAAAAAAUGUUUACGGAGAAAGCAAACCAUGCAAUAAUCUGAGAUGGCGCUCAGAAAACAAAUAUAAUUAUCCGCCAUGUUGGAGUCAACAGAAAUCAGAAAUUACAUUACAAAUAUUCCCUUACCUUUGAUGAUCUUCAUCAGAAUGCACUCCCAGGAAUCCUAGUUCCACAAUAAAUGCUUGAUUUGUUCGAUAAUGUCCAUUAUUUAUAUCCAAGCAGCUACUUUUGUUAGGGCGUUAGGUACACAUAUCCAAACGCUCAUGCAGGUCAGGCAUAACGUCGGACAAAAAGUUAUAUUACAGGUCGUAGAAACAUUUCAAACUAAGUAUAGAUUCAAUCUUUAGAAUGUUUUUAUCAUAAAUCUUCACUAAUGUUCCAACCGGAGAAUUGCUUUGUGUUUAGAGAAGCCAUGGAACGCAGGUCGCUAUUAUGUGAAAUGCGCAUGACCAGGAAAUGGCUCUCUGCCAGUAACAUGACUUAUUCAGCUCUUAUUCAGCCCCACAUCACAGUAGAAGCCUCAUUCAAGUUUCUAAAGAUGGUUGACAUCUAGUGGAAGCCCUAGGAAG
rnacentral:lncRNA from 13 species